rnacentral:SRP_RNA from 1 species
GCUGGGCAUGGUGGCGCGUGUGUGUAAUCCCAGCUACUCGGGAGGCUGAGGCAGGAGAAUUGCCUGAACCCAGGAGGCGGAGGUUGCGGUGAGCCGAGAUGGCGCCAUUGCACUCCAGCCUGGGUAACGAGAGUGAAACUCUGUCUCAAAAAAAAAAAAAGAUGGACUUUUGCUCUUGUUGCCCUGGCUAGAGUGCAAUGGCGCCAUCUCAGCUCACUGCAACCUCCGCCUCCCGGGUUCAAGUGAUUCUCCUGCCUCAG